rnacentral:rRNA from 1 species
AGAGUUUGAUCCUGGCUCAGGAUGAACGCUGGCGGCGUGCUUAACACAUGCAAGUCGAACGAAGCACUUUAUUUGAUUUCCUUCGGGACUGAUUAUUUUGUGACUGAGUGGCGGACGGGUGAGUAACGCGUGGGUAACCUGCCUUGUACAGGGGGAUAACAGUUGGAAACGGCUGCUAAUACCGCAUAAGCGCACGGGCAUCGCAUGAUGCAGGUGUGAAAAACUCCGGUGGUAUAAGAUGGACCCGCGUUGGAUUAGCUAGUUGGUGAGGUAAUGGCCCACCAAGGCGACGAUCCAUAGCCGACCUGAGAGGGUGACCGGCCACAUUGGGACUGAGACACGGCCCAAACUCCUACGGGAGGCAGCAGUGGGGAAUAUUGCACAAUGGGCGAAAGCCUGAUGCAGCGACGCCGCGUGAGCGAAGAAGUAUUUCGGUAUGUAAAGCUCUAUCAGCAGGGAAGAAGAAUGACGGUACCUGACUAAGAAGCACCGGCUAAAUACGUGCCAGCAGCCGCGGUAAUACGUAUGGUGCAAGCGUUAUCCGGAUUUACUGGGUGUAAAGGGAGCGCAGGCGGUGCGGCAAGUCUGAUGUGAAAGCCCGGGGCUCAACCCCGGUACUGCAUUGGAAACUGUCGUACUAGAGUGUCGGAGGGGUAAGUGGAAUUCCUAGUGUAGCGGUGAAAUGCGUAGAUAUUAGGAGGAACACCAGUGGCGAAGGCGGCUUACUGGACGAUAACUGACGCUGAGGCUCGAAAGCGUGGGGAGCAAACAGGAUUAGAUACCCUGGUAGUCCACGCCGUAAACGAUGA